rnacentral:rRNA from 1 species
UACGAAGGGGGCUAGCGUUGCUCGGAAUCAUUGGGCGUAAAGCGCACGUAGGCGGCCCGAUAAGUCGGAUGUGAAAUCCCUCGGCUCAACCGAGGACGUGCAUUCGAAACUGUCGGGCUCGAGUAUGGAAGAGGGUCGCGGAAUUCCCGGUGUAGAGGUGAAAUUCGUAGAUAUCGGGAGGAACACCAGUGGCGAAGGCGGCGACCUGGGCCAAUACUGACGCUGAGGUGCGAAAGCGUGGGGAGCAAACAGG